AUACCGGGCCUUUUUGGGCUUGGUAAUUGGAAUGAGGGAGAGUUAAACGGACCAUCGAGUAUCCAUUGGAGGGCAAGUCUGGUGCCAGCAGCUGCGGUAAUACCAGCUCCAAUAGCGUAUAUUAAAGUUGUUGCAGUUAAAAAGCUCGUAGUUGGACUUGUGUGCGCUGUCCGCGGGUGGCCUGCGCCCAAAAGGGCGUUUCGGUUCGGCCCCGGUGGCGCCUUGAAAUCUGCAGCUGGGGGGACGUUGGCCUUAACUGGUCGGCGACCGCACGCCGGCUGCUCGGUUACUGUGAGAAAAUUAGAGUGUUCAAGGCAGGCAUUGGGUGCAAUUGAAUACAUUAGCAUGGAAUAAUAAAAUAUGGCUCCUGCCGUAUUUUGUUGGUUUUGACUGGUGGGAGUAAUGAUUGAUAGGGACGGUUGGGGGUGCUAGUAUUGAGCGGCCAGAGGUGAAAUUCAUGGAUUCGCUCAAGACUAACUUAUGCGAAAGCAUUCACCAAGGACGUCCUCUUUAAUCAAGAACGAAAGUUGGGGGAUCGAAGACGAUCAGAUACCGUCGUAGUCUCAACCAUAAACUAUGUCGACUUGGGAUCGGCGGUAGUUUUUUCAUUAAGACACUGUCGGGACCACGGGAGAAAUCAAAGUGUCUGGACUCUGGGGGAAGUAUGGUCGCAAGGCUGAAACUUGAAGGAAUUGACGGAAGGGCACCACCAGAGUGGAGCCUGCGGCUUAAUUUGACACAACACGGGGAAACUUACCAGGUCCAGAGAUGUAGAGGAUUGACAGAUUGAAGCUCUUUCUUGAUCACUUCGGUGGUGGUGCAUGGCCGUUCUUAGUUGGUGGAGUGAUUUGUCUGGUUAAUUCCGUUAACGAACGAGACCUCAGCCUGCUAGUGUAGUCGGCUGGAUUGCCUUUGGCGAUCCGUGAUUUCGACUUCUUAGAGGGACAAUCGACGCGCAGUCGAUGGAAGUUUGAGGCAAUAACAGGUCUGUGAUGCCCUUAGAUGUCCUGGGCCGCACGCGCGCUACACUGCUGGGCUCAGCGAGUUUUACUUGGCCGAGAGGCCCGGUUAAUCUUGUGAAAUCCCAGCGUGCUUGGGCUCGCCUCCUGCAACUGGAGGCGCCAACGAGGAAUUCCUAGUAGACGCAGGUCAUCAACCUGCAUCGAUUACGUCCCUGCCCUUUGUACACACCGCCCGUCGUUCCAUAAGAGUGAGGCAUCCGGUGAAUUCUCGGGAGAGCCUGGGCGUGGCCAGCAAUGGUCUGCUCGGGUUUGAACUUGCAUAAACUUGGUGCCUAUGAUUAGGG
rnacentral:rRNA from 1 species